rnacentral:lncRNA from 1 species
AUGGUGCCAGGGGCUGCGGCCACCCCGCACAGCCACCCCCGGCUCUGUCACCCUGCCCUGGGGGCCACCACCGAGGGCCCUGCUGGGGACAGGGGCGCAGGGCUGCCAGCUCCGGGCCCUGUCCCCGUCCCCGCGGUCCCCAGGAGGUGGCAGUGCGCUGUCGUGGGAGGCGGCUGCUGCUCACCCCGGGGACCUGGUGGCCGCUGGGGACAGACCUCGCCGCCUGCCCUGCCGGGUGUCACCCCCCCCGGCCCUCUGCCCAUCGCCACGGAGCGGUGCGGGGCCACCACGGGGACCUGGCCCUGGCACAGGCAGGAGGGACGGGGCAGGAGUCCCCCUUGGCCCUCUUGUCCCCACAAUGUCCCCUUGUCCCCGCAGCCACCCCGCUCCCCUCCGGCUCCUGCCUCGGUGUCGCUUUGCUGGGACCCAGGACGGGGCUGUCCUAGAGGGGCCCCAAACCCCAAACCUGCCCACCCAGCGGGGACAUCCCAAUACUGGGGACAUCCCGGCUGUGGCCUGGCCAUGGUGCAGAGGGGGCAGGUGGCAGUGUCACACGGUGUCCUCCCAGCCACCAGCAGCCCCGGGGCCGGUGUCCAGAGCCCUGGGACUCUCCGUGCCAUGGGGUACCCUACCCACACCGGGACACCUCGGGGCUGCCCUUGUCCCCAUCGCAGUGGGGCAGCUCCUGCCCUCAGGACAUGGGGCAGCCCCCCCGUCCCCACCGCACGGGGCAGGCUGUGCUGCUGUGUGUCCCCUAAACUUGUGGGGGGGCUAUUUAGGGAGGGGGGCGCACCGUGCCUUGGCAUCCCGACCCCUGCCUUGGCACCCUUGGCACCCUGCCCACCCUCAGUGCAGGCACUACAGCCACCCCCUCCUUCUCCCCGCUGCCACCCCAGGGUGGGGGGACCCCACUUUCUCCCCCUCCUACCCCCCCUCCAGCACUCGGGCUGCCUCCAGGGCGCCCCGCGGCGGUGCGCGCACCCUGCGGGGAAACUGAGGCACGGCGCGCCCGGACCCCCCCCAAACCCAAACUCCCCCCUCUCCGGCCGGCACGGCUCCAGGGCUGCGGAGCGGCAUUUCCUCCGGGCGCCGACCCUCCUCCUCCUCCUCCUCCUCCUCCUUCUCCUCCUCCUCCUCCUCCCGAAGGGAGUCGGUUUCCUGCCGCCGCCGCGCCCGCUCACUGCGCUCUCGGCUUCGGGCAGCGGCGGCGGCCGGGAUGUGCCUGCGGAGCCCCCCCUCGCUGCUGCUGCUGCUGCUGCUGCCGCUGCUCGCCCGGCCCGGUGA